rnacentral:rRNA from 1 species
GAUGAACGCUGACAGAAUGCUUAACACAUGCAAGUCUUUGGCGAAGCUGUGCUUGCACAGCCUAGCCAAGGCGGACGGGUGAGUAACGCGUAAGGAACUUGCCCUGCAGUCAGGGAUAACAGACGGAAACGACUGAUAAGACCUGGUAAAGUCAGGCGGACUCAUGUCCAGCCUGAUGAAAAGAGAUGCUGCAGGAGAGCCUUGCGUCCUAUUAGCUUGUUGGUGGGGUAACAGCCCACUAAGGCGAUGAUAGGUAGCCGGCCUGAGAGGGUGGACGGCCACAAGGGGACUGAGAUACGGCCCUUACUCCUACGGGAGGCAGCAGUGGGGAAUAUUGGACAAUGGGGGCAACCCUGAUCCAGCAAUUCUGUGUGCACGAUGAAGGUUUUCGGAUUGUAAAGUGCUUUCAGCAGGGAAGAAAAAAAUGACGGUACCUGCAGAAGAAGCGACGGCUAAAUACGUGCCAGCAGCCGCGGUAAUACGUAUGUCGCAAGCGUUAUCCGGAAUUAUUGGGCAUAAAGGGCAUCUAGGCGGCCAGAUAAGUCUGGGGUGAAAACUUGCGGCUCAACCGCAAGCCUGCCCUGGAAACUAUGUGGCUAGAGUACUGGAGAGGUGGACGGAACUGCACGAGUAGAGGUGAAAUUCGUAGAUAUGUGCAGGAAUGCCGAUGAUGAAGAUAGUUCACUGGACGGUAACUGACGCUGAAGUGCGAAAGCUAGGGGAGCAAACAGG